CCUACGGGUGGCAGCAGUGGGGGAUAUUGCACAAUGGGGGAAACCCUGAUGCAGCGACGCCGCGUGUGGGAAGACGGUCCUCUGGAUUGUAAACCACUGUCCCCAGGGACGAAGAUGACGGUACCUGGGGAGGAAGCUCCGGCUAACUACGUGCCAGCAGCCGCGGUAAUACGUAGGGAGCGAGCGUUGUCCGGAAUUACUGGGUGUAAGGGGAGUGUAGGCGGGACUGCAAGUUGGGUGUCAAAUCUACCGGCUCAACCGGUAGCCGCACUCAAAACUGCAGUUCUUGAGUGAAGUAGAGGCAGGCGGAAUUCCUAGUGUAGCGGUGAAAUGCGUAGAUAUUAGGAGGAACACCAGUGGCGAAGGCGGCCUGCUGGGCUUUUACUGACGCUGAGGCUCGAAAGUGUGGGGAGCAAACAGGAUUAGAUACCCCUGUAGUC
rnacentral:rRNA from 1 species